rnacentral:rRNA from 1 species
GCGAAAGAAAGUUAGGGCGUCUGGUGGAUGCCUUGGCUCUCGGAGGCGAUGAAGGACGUGAUAAGCUGCGAUAAGCCAUGGGUAGGUGCAAAUAACCUUUGAUCCGUGGAUUUCCGAAUGGGACAACCCAGCAGUCUGAAGGACUGUUAUCUUUACGAAGUGUAAAGAGGCAAACGCGGGGAACUGAAACAUCUUAGUACCCGCAGGAAGAGAAAAUAAACUAAUGAUUCCCCCAGUAGUGGCGAGCGAACGGGGAAGAGCCCAAACCGCAUGUGUAGCAAUGCACAUGCGGGGUAGUAGGACCACGCCGUGGUACGCAGAAUGUGAGAAGAAGGUUCUGGAAAGUUCCGUCAUAGAAGGUGAUAAUCCUGUAAUCGAAGCAUGAUGCGGCCUAGUGGUAUCCUGAGUAACGCGGAGCACGAGGAAUUCUGCGCGAAUCCGCCGGGACCAUCCGGUAAGGCUAAAUACUCCCGAGAGACCGAUAGCGAACCAGUACCGUGAGGGAAAGGUGAAAAGCACCCCGACGAGGGGAGUGAAAGAGUACCUGAAACCAGUCGCCUACAAGCGGUCGGAGCAUGUUUACCAUGUGACGGCGUGCCUUUUGCAUAAUGAACCUACGAGUUACCAUCACCGGCGAGGUUAAGCGGCUCAGCCGCGCAACCGCAGUGAAAGCGAGCCUGAAGAGGGCGUCGAGUCGGUGGGGGUAGACGCGAAACCGAGUGAUCUACACAUGUCCAGGGUGAAGUCCCGGUAACACGGGAUGGAGGCCCGCACCAAUAAGCGUUGAAAAGCUUCUGGAUGAGGUGUGUGUAGGAGUGAAAGGCCAAUCAAACUCGGAGAUAGCUCGUACUCCCCGAAAGGCAUUUAGGUGCCGCGUGUGGUGUUCACCUUGAGAGGUAGAGCGACCGAUAGGUCAAGAGGGCUUCACCGCCUAUCGAGACCUGACGAACUCCGAAUGCUCAUGCUCUGUAGCCGUGCAGUAAGGGUGCGGGUGCUAAGGUCCGUGA